rnacentral:lncRNA from 10 species
AUUAAAAUGCUCAGGCACAAUGUUGGUAUUCUUUCCUCCAUUCAUAGCCACCCUCCCACUCCACUAUCAUGUUAAUAAAUGAAAACACUGAUAUAUUACCAUACACUAAGAAUUUUACAUACAUUAACUCAUUGAAUCUUCUUAAUAAUGUUAUGAGGUAGAUGUUCUAUUUACCCCAGUUGAGUUAGAUGAAGGACGUGAAGCACCAGCAAGUUAACUGAGCUACCCUAAGUUACAGGGGCUCAUAAGCAGUUAGGAUCAGAACACAGAACAGAGUAGCUUCAUGGCUGUGCACAAUACCCUGCACCGUCCCACCCUGACUCCUAGCCAUGUUUGAUGACAAAAUGUCAAAUCUUGCUCUUUGUGCAUAAUUUGCCUGAAGAUACAGAGAAAUUAUCCUGCCUCCACCCCAUACUCUUCACCCGGUCACAUUUGCCAGCUCAUGGGCCUAGAAAAGCAAUCUUCAGCUCUUUCCGAGUAAAGCAGGCUAAUAGAGCAAGCCUGCAGCCUGAAAAAAUUUGAUUUCACUCUUAAUAACAUACUUAAUUACAUUACAAAUCUAACAUUUUAUUUGACUCUCCCAAAUUGAAGUUCAGAGUCAAUUAGUUAAGUAAUAUGUAAAAAAAAACAAACAAACAAAAAAAAAAACAGGACUUGAGAACUUAGGGGAUGUGAUUCCGAAGUGCCCGAGUGGCAAUGUUUCCUGUGUGUCUGAGGCUCAAAAAUUUCACAUCGAGAGAGGUGCUGGAUUUCAAGUGUUGAGUGACUAUACUUGAAUCACAAGGCAAUUCAUUCCCAGAUCCCAGGUCAUCACAUAUCUCCAGAGAAAUAUAGGAGAUGAAACCAUGGGACGGAUUUACACACUCAAGGGGGCUCAUUUGAGAACUAUCCCAAAUGAGGAUGGGGGAGUAUCCAGGAAUGAUUCCGCAUGAUAUGCGUGCUUUGGCACUAUGAUUUCCUUACCCAAUUCCAAAUCUUGCACAUCAAAACAACAGAAAGACUCAUAAAUGCAGAAAAGCUCAUUAGCUGAAUAGUGGUGGCAGAAAUGAGGACAUAUUUGGCUGGAAAGUGUUUAAAUCCUUGUGAUCUCAGAGCUCAUAAUGUGUACAAACCCAAAGACAUCAUUAACCAUGUACAGAGUUGUGCUUCUGUAGUCCCUUUAACAUUGAACAUGAGAGAACAAGACUCCCUGGAAAUAAACAAAAUCCACCCCUAUGCCCCACACCUAACGUCAGGACAACCAAAAGGCAUGAAUGAAUGUAGAAAGCAAAAGUAUCCCAGAGCUUAACUUCUUGGACCGUGAAUUAUUCUCUAGUGUGUAAGGAAAUUAUAUUCCUGGAGGCAGCCUCUGAGGCAGUUUUAACCUAGAAACUUUUCCAGAAUCUGCCAUAAGCCCCUGCUUUAAGCCAGGGGCUCUAUCUGUUGAGUGUUGCUGCUUCUGCUGCUGUAACAAAUUACCAAAGCUGUAGUAGCUUAAAAUGACACCAAUUUAUUAUCUUAAAGUUAUUAUGGUCUGUAGUUCAAAAUGGGUUGGCAGGAUUGUGUUCCUUCUAGAAAUUCAAGAAGAGAAUCCAAUUCCUUGUCCUUUUCAAUUUCAGGGGGUUUCAUGCAUCCAAUGACUCACAGUCUCUUUCCUCCAUCUCUAAAGACAACAGAGGUUUGAAUUCUUCUGACACUGAAUCACUCUGACCUCUACUUUUCUUUUAACAUUUCUUCUCUGGUCUUAAUCCUGCUGUCUCAAUUUUAUAAAGCCCUUAUGAAUACAUUAGGUCCACUUAUGUAAUACAGGAUAAUCUGUCUAUCUGAAGAUUCUUAAUCACAUCUACAAAGUCCCCUUUUGCCAUGAAAGGUAACUGUGAUGGUUAAUAUUAAGUGUCAACCUGAUUGGAUUGAAGGAUGCAGAGUAUUGUUCCUGGGUAUGUCUGUGAGGGUGUUGCCAAAGGAGAUUAAUAUUUGAGUCAGUGGACUGGGAGAGGCAGACCCACCCCCAAUGUGGGUGGGCACCAUCUGGUCGGCUGCCAGUGCAGCUUGAAAAAGCAGGUGGCUUAAGCUGGCUUUUGCUGAGUCUUCUGGUUUUCAUCUUUCUCCUGUGCUGAAUGCUUCCUGCCCUUGAACAUCAGACUCCAGGUUGUUCAGCCUUUGGAUUCUUGGACUUACACCAGUGGUUUGCCAGGGGCUUUUGUGUCUUUGGCCACAGACUGAAGGCUGCAUUGUCAGCUUCCCUACUUUUGGGGUUUUGGGACUUGGACUGAGCCACUACUGGCUUCCUUGCUCCUCAGCUUACAGACGACCUAACUUGGGACUUCACCUUGUGAUCCUGGAUCCCAGAAGAGCAAACAGUCCCGGACUAAUAGAGUAGCUCUACAGUGCCAUCAGAGCUGGAGGCCCCUUCUAUUUGUUCAUUCUGUCAUCCUUAACAUGUUCUUUCAUUGUUAUGGUUUCAAAUCUGUUCCACUUCAGUCACCAUGCCAACAAUCCAGUAUAAAAAUAAAGGAAUGGAGAGAAAAAAUAAAGAUGUGCCCUUUUCUUUUUGGCACAAUUAUGAUCCUAUAAUCUAUAUUACCCUUAACUGGCUUUUGCUGUAAUAAAACCAUAACAACUGUAAUCUCAACUAAUAGGGAGACAGAGGCAGGAGGAUUACUUGAGCUCAGGAGUUUCAGCUUGGGCCACAAAGCAAGACCCAGUCUCUGAAAAAGAAACAAAACAACAAGAUACAACAAUAAAAUCGUAACAACAAAACACUAAGAAAUCAUUUCAGGUCAG